rnacentral:rRNA from 1 species
GGUUAAGCGAACAAGCGUACACGGUGGAUGCCCUGGCAGUCAGAGGCGAUGAAGGACGUGCUAAUCUGCGAAAAGCGCCGGUAAGGUGAUAUGAACCGUUAUAACCGGCGAUGUCCGAAUGGGGAAACCCGGUGCACUUCGGUGCAUCAUCGUUAGCUGAAUACAUAGGCUAACGAGGCGAACCGGGGGAACUGAAACAUCUAAGUACCCCGAGGAAAAGAAAUCAACCGAGAUUCCCCCAGUAGCGGCGAGCGAACGGGGAACAGCCCAGAGCCUGAAUCAGCUUGUGUGUCAGUGGAACGGUCUGGAAAGGCCGGCGAUACAGGGUGACAGCCCCGUACACGAAGGCACACAGGCUGUGAGCUCGAUGAGUAGGGCGGGACACGUGAUAUCCUGUCUGAAGAUGGGGGGACCAUCCUCCAAGGCUAAAUACUCCUGACUGACCGAUAGUGAACCAGUACCGUGAGGGAAAGGCGAAAAGAACCCCGGCGAGGGGAGUGAAACAGAACCUGAAACCGUGUACGUACAAGCAGUGGGAGCCUUCGUAAGAGGGUGACUGCGUACCUUUUGUAUAAUGGGUCAGCGACUUAUAUUCUGUAGCAAGGUUAACCGUAUAGGGGAGCCGAAGGGAAACCGAGUCUUAAUUGGGCGUUAAGUUGCAGGGUAUAGACCCGAAACCCGGUGAUCUAGCCAUGGGCAGGUUGAAGGUUGGGUAACACUAACUGGAGGACCGAACCGACUAAUGUUGAAAAAUUAGCGGAUGACCUGUGGCUGGGGGUGAAAGGCCAAUCAAACCGGGAGAUAGCUGGUUCUCCCCGAAAGCUAUUUAGGUAGCGCCUCGUGAACUCAUCUCCGGGGGUAGAGCACUGUUUCGGCUAGGGGGCCAUCCCGGCUUACCAACCCGAUGCAAACUGCGAAUACCGGAGAAUGUUAUCACGGGAGACACACGGGCGGGUGCUAACGUCCGUCGUGAAGAGGGAAACAACCCAGACCGCCAGCUAAGGUCCCAAAGUCAUGGUUAAGUGGGAAACGAUGUGGGAAGGCCCAGACAGCCAGGAUGUUGGCUUAGAAGCAGCCAUCAUUUAAAGAAAGCGUAAUAGCUCACUGGUCGAGUCGGCCUGCGCGGAAGAUGUAACGGGGCUAAACCAUGCACCGAAGCUGCGGCAGCGACACGUAUGUGUUGUUGGGUAGGGGAGCGUUCUGUAAGCCUGUGAAGGUGUGCUGUGAGGCAUGCUGGAGGUAUCAGAAGUGCGAAUGCUGACAUAAGUAACGAUAAAGCGGGUGAAAAGCCCGCUCGCCGGAAGACCAAGGGUUCCUGUCCAACGUUAAUCGGGGCAGGGUGAGUCGACCCCUAAGGCGAGGCCGAAAGGCGUAGUCGAUGGGAAACAGGUUAAUAUUCCUGUACUUGGUGUUACUGCGAAGGGGGGACGGAGAAGGCUAUGUCAGCCGGGCGACGGUCGUCCCGGUUUAAGCGUGUAGGCUGACUUUCCAGGCAAAUCCGGAAGGUUAAGGCUGAGGCGUGAUGACGAGGCACCACGGUGCUGAAGUGACAAAUGCCCUGCUUCCAGGAAAAGCCUCUAAGCAUCAGGUAACAUCAAAUCGUACCCCAAACCGACACAGGUGGUCAGGUAGAGAAUACCAAGGCGCUUGAGAGAACUCGGGUGAAGGAACUAGGCAAAAUGGUGCCGUAACUUCGGGAGAAGGCACGCUGACAUGUAGGUGAAGCCCCUGCGGGUGGAGCUGAAGUCAGUCGAAGAUACCAGCUGGCUGCAACUGUUUAUUAAAAACACAGCACUGUGCAAACACGAAAGUGGACGUAUACGGUGUGACGCCUGCCCGGUGCCGGAAGGUUAAUUGAUGGGGUUAUCGCAAGAGAAGCUCCUGAUCGAAGCCCCGGUAAACGGCGGCCGUAACUAUAACGGUCCUAAGGUAGCGAAAUUCCUUGUCGGGUAAGUUCCGACCUGCACGAAUGGCGUAAUGAUGGCCAGGCUGUCUCCACCCGAGACUCAGUGAAAUUGAACUCGCUGUGAAGAUGCAGUGUACCCGCGGCAAGACGGAAAGACCCCGUGAACCUUUACUACAGCUUGACACUGAACAUUGAGCCUUGAUGUGUAGGAUAGGUGGGAGGCUUUGAAGCGUGGACGCCAGUCUGCGUGGAGCCAACCUUGAAAUACCACCCUUUAAUGUUUGAUGUUCUAACCUGGCGCCGUGAUCCGGCGUGGGGACAGUGUCUGGUGGGUAGUUUGACUGGGGCGGUCUCCUCCCAAAGUGUAACGGAGGAGCACGAAGGUCAGCUAAUCCUGGUCGGACAUCAGGAGGUUAGUGCAAUGGCAUAAGCUGGCUUGACUGCGAGAGUGACGGCUCGAGCAGGUGCGAAAGCAGGUCAUAGUGAUCCGGUGGUUCUGUAUGGAAGGGCCAUCGCUCAACGGAUAAAAGGUACUCCGGGGAUAACAGGCUGAUACCGCCCAAGAGUUCAUAUCGACGGCGGUGUUUGGCACCUCGAUGUCGGCUCAUCACAUCCUGGGGCUGAAGUAGGUCCCAAGGGUAUGGCUGUUCGCCAUUUAAAGUGGUACGCGAGCUGGGUUUAGAACGUCGUGAGACAGUUCGGUCCCUAUCUGCCGUGGGCGCUGGAGAAUUGAGGGGGGCUGCUCCCAGUACGAGAGGACCGGAGUGGACGCAUCACUGGUGUUCGGGUUGUCAUGCCAAUGGCACUGCCCGGUAGCUAAAUGCGGAAGAGAUAAGUGCUGAAAGCAUCUAAGCACGAAACUUGCCCCGAGAUGAGUUCUCCCUGAGACUUUAAGUCUCCUGAAGGAACGUUGAAGACGACGACGUUGAUAGGCCGGGUGUGUAAGCGCAGCGAUGCGUUGAGCUAACCGGUACUAAUGAACCGUGAGGCUUAACCUU